CGCCAUUUUCAAACUUCAGAGCCUCACUGACUGGAACUCUUCUAACAGCGACAUUAUUCCUCAUUAUUACUUUUUUCUCAUUCUUUCUUCGACACCUAUUAUCACUUCAACGAUUAUUAUUUUUUUACAUAUAUUGGCAGCUGGAAGAGGAUUUUCAUUAAAAGGUGCAGGAGAGACUACACUGGAAGAGGGGAGUCAGGCGGGUUGGGAAUCCUUUCCCCUGUUGCCUAACAUGCUGGAGAACGGGGAUCGAGGGUAAGUCAGAUCUUUCCUGUGUCCGUUUCUGAGCCUAACCAAAACGGCCUCUGGCUUGAAUGGGUGAGCAGAGUUAGGCCAGGGUGUGUAUGUGUCUACAUAAGCGUGCGAGCUUCUCUUUUAGAUCCAUAAACAAACACACAUAAAUCUCACCUUUCCUGCAUUCAUGUUAUAGCUAGUACAAUAUUUUAAUGGCAUUGCUUGAAGCUAAUCUACAUUAUUCUAGUCAUAUUUAGAGGUUAAAUGUUUAAUGUCAACCCAUGGUGUUGUGUGCUGGAAGACCUGCUGUCUUAUCACAGCACUGACUUGGAUCCCUUCCACAGUGUUAACAAAUGUACUAGACAAGUACACGGAUCAAGAUUUAGCAGAAAAUGACUGACAGGAAGUUAGGCAUAGACUAGCAUUCACAUAUCCGGCAUUUUCAUCAUAAAUGUGUGUAAGAGAGAAUGACUGACCAUGAUACAUUCACACAGUAAGAUGCUAAAUAAUGUUUGCUCCAGAUCGACAGGCAAAUAUAUGUAUGCAGUUCCACACUCUUAAUAAAUACACAAAUAAUAAAAUAUGUCCUCUUAAUUACGCUAACUAAAACACUGAGUUUUAGUUCAAUUGAUACUUGAUGCAAUCAUGCAAAUAAUUUACUCAAAUAAAAAAUACAUCAAAUAUUACAAUAAAUAUAUAGAACACGAUAGGAGUGGCUUUUGUAACCCUGUAUUCUUGUUUGUCCUCACAGCUUCCCCUCGCCUGUGUUUUCCUUCAUCAUACUACCACCGCGUCAGAAGGGUGAAGGUAGGGCUGGAGUUAAGAUGGCUGACACAGCGGGCUGUCAUUUCAAAUGAGCACUAAGUAAAUUACUCUCCCUCCAUUAUCGUAAUGAGAAGCCUUUCCCAUCGAGAGAGGGAGACAGCAAAGGAAAAAAAAUGAUAUUGACCCUUUGGCACACAGACAACAUUAGUCUUACUCGCCAAGCUUCCUUUCCCCAAGAUAAAACAGCCAAACGUACAAUGCCCGUAUGAAAUUGUAACUAAGAGGUGAAAUUCAUGAGUGGUAUGAAACAUAGACAUGUAUACUGACCGGUGUAAAUGGUAUAUGGUAAACAAAGACUUUCUCUUUCGUACAUCCACACACACACACACACGAGGAGUCAUGCUGUGGCCACUAGAAUACAUGCAAUAUAAGUAGCAACUGAAAUGAAAAUAGGUUUCAGAUAUUAGUACGUUAACACACACACACACAUACUCGCCCACGUAAUUCAGAACAGUUAGACAACAUAGAUGAAAUGGCUCCUGAUUCCUUCAUGAAUUAUUAGUAUAUAGUUGGACCACAGUCAGAAAGCAGAGACGGCAGACGAGUUCACAUGAUAAUUGGGAAAAAGCACGAGAUACUGAGUAGAUGUAAAGAUAAACAUACGAUGAAGCAGCCAUUAUUAUUUAAGCCUAUUUGAACACAGGAUAAAAAUAAUAAUAAUAAAAAAAGUGGGAUCCUGAGGACCAGUGUAAAUUAGGGCUUCUAGGUUCCAGUGGAAAAGACAUGCACACUCACUGUUCAGAGGUAAUAACUAGAACAUUUUUUUUCUGUUACAUUUAUUCGAUGACCGUAGCACUUGAUAAUCUCUGGUAGCAGCUUGAACUGGCCUUUCCUUGGGUUUAUGUAUAGCCAAUGCAAUAUUGGAAGAUAAUACUUACAUUUUGUAACAAUUUUUAAUUGAGUUAUAAGAGUAAAAUCUUACACGGGGAGGAAUAAUAUUCUGCACAAAAGUGCAACAUUCGCUAAUUUAUAGUCAUGCCUAUUUGAAGAUCGCAAUCAACUAAAAAGCUUUGGCAGCCAUUGCCGUUCUGAAAAGAGACUAUUAAGGGUUAUGGUCAUCAGUUUUCCCUUUUCUUUGAUCUGCACUCUUAUGCUUACAACAGAUUAAUCUAGAGAUCUGUGCAGCGCUCCUGCUUGCUGUAAUGGUCGAACUGGCUCUUCCAGUGCAUCAUGUAAGAGCUCCAGCGAUGAAACUCCACUUUCCACUGUCGCUCAACAUCAUCAAUGUUAUCUGGGUAGGAAAUAUGAGGAAAACAACAGCAUGAGGUUUGACAGGAAAGUAGAGGCAAGAAUGAAUUGAAAAAUCUCAGAAAAAUUGAAAUGUUUCUUUAUGGUCAGC
rnacentral:lncRNA from 1 species